rnacentral:rRNA from 1 species
UCGAGGAUCUUCGGCAAUGGGCGCAAGCCUGACCGAGCGACGCCGCGUGCGCGAUGAAGGCCUUCGGGUUGUAAAGCGCUGUCGAGGGGGAGGAAGACCCGCAAGGGCUUGACCUAUCCCUGGAGGAAGCACGGGCUAAGUUCGUGCCAGCAGCCGCGGUAAGACGAACCGUGCAAACGUUAUUCGGAUUCACUGGGCUUAAAGGGCGCGUAGGCGGGCGACAAGGUCGGAAGUGAAAGCCUCCCGCUCAACGGGAGAAGGGCUCCCGAUACCGGUCGUCUCGAGGGAGGUAGGGGCGAGUGGAACUUCCGGUGGAGCGGUGAAAUGCGUAGAUAUCGGAAGGAACGCCGGUGGCGAAAGCGGCUCGCUGGACCUCUUCUGACGCUGAGGCGCGAAAGCCAGGGGAGCAAACGGGAUUAGAUACCCCCGUAGUCC